AGAAUUCAAUUAUGGUGAAAUCUGUCCUAUAUAAGGACAUGAGAACAAUUGAAAAAUUCAGAAAAAAUUCCUUUCCUCUGUUUAUUCCCUCACGCUCUUUCUGCUCAUCUUAUACUUCCAAUAGCAUUUUCUUUCCGAGUUCGAAAAACACAUACCUCAAAGAUUAUGGAAGAAACCCUAAUGCAAACAUAGCUUCAACAUCUUGAUCGCGAUACUCUUUCAUUUGCUACGUGAUACAGUUGCCAUUCCGCUUCAUCACGAGGUUUUGUAAGUAGUUUAUGUUUAUGCAAGAUGCGGGUGCCUUUGUUAGAUUGCAUAUCGGAGUUUUAUCAUCACCAGUUUCGAUCUGGUAGUAACUGCGUGCAGAGAGAAAGUAGUGAGGUUAUUGAAAAUGGAUAAACAUUUAUCCAUUAUCAAUAACCUUAAGGAAAGCUUGACACUAGAAGUUGACAUUUUACAAAUAUCAGAUGAUAAGUCUACAACAAAAGCUUAACAAAGACUUUUGCUCUUUCAGUGUUUAGCUUGGAUUUGUUUGAUUGACUCGUAAUGCACUAACUUUAUAGCAUGGUUGUAUGUUCAUCUUUGCAUAAUUGACUUAAGAGUGUUUUUAUGCGAUAGACUAUACAAGAGUUUUUAUCUUCUUUUGAAAUUUCCUUUCACGGUCACUCUAGAAAUAAAAAAUUUAUGAGUUAUAGUUUGACUAGCGUGUCGACACUGAAAAAUCAGUCACAUAGUAAUGAUAUACAAGCUUCAAGAUAUUUUCAGUUACAUCUUUUUACUUGCAUUCUUUAAUUAAUUUUUAGAAAAUGUCUCGCUUAAAUCUUAAAUGUACUAAGUGUGACCAAAUGAGAUUUUCCGCAUUCACAUUCCAUCUAUUCUCAUAGCGUCUUCAUAAUAGCCUAACUAAAAUUCUUGACAAAUUUAUUUUAUUUAUAGAGUUAUCUUUAAGUAAAUUUCAAUUGAAGAUAAAGACUCUUAAGUUUUUUACGCAAAAAUAGUUGAUGUUAAUUAUGCAAAACCUGAAUGUACAACUCAACUAUUGAGUGACGUGCAAGAACCUUCAAAGCCAACCAAGCCCAUCCAAGCUAAACACUGAAGCAACAAAAAAUCUUUUUUAUUCUUUCGUUUGUAGAUUUAGCAUAUGAUUUUGUGAAAUGUCAACUUCUAGUGCUAAGUUCAUGCUGAGGAUCGAAAUUCUACCUCUUAGGAAAUUGCUAAUUAGCAUGUUGUGAGAAACAUGGUUAUAAUAUCAACUUCAUCAGAUUGUUGCAUGCCUUGAAGCGUGCAAAUAACUUCAUCAAAUUAGAGCUUUGCCUAAAAAUCUUCUAUCAAUUAUUGUUGAGAAAGCAGAGGUGGAGGAAUCUGAAGCAAGCAAGAGUUUUGUUGAAUUACUGCCUUGACACAGCUCUAUAAUCAUGUCACCGAUAUCAGUUAGAGAUUUGAGUCAUUGCCCAAAGCGUUCAGCUUGUAAAAGAUGCAUUUGGAUCAUUGCAAGGGAAUGGAAUUCACACAUUCAAGAUGUUAUGAAUGCCUAGUAAUUACUAACUAAUCAUGGUUAGGAGAAGAGAAAUAUUGACUUGGUAUGUUUUGCUCAUCUGUUGUUUUCUAUGAUUCUUCAAAGGUUUAAUUCACUAACUCCAUUCAAAACAAAAACCUUAAUAGAGCUAGUGGCAAACCAAAUUUUCAUAGAAGAGGUUCUAUCAAUACCAAGAUUUGUCCUUUCUAUGGUAAGCAUGGACAUACUGAUGAUUCAGAUUACUUUAAGCUUGAUUUUCUAUCGGUCGACAAGUUCAAAGACAAAGUCAGUUCUAUCAACAAUGUUGACUCUUAUGAUAUCAAGAACAUGUUUAGAAUCCAACUGAAAAUUAGGUGGAAAACGUAGCAAUUUCUCAUGACAUGUAUCAGAAACUGGCAGUUCUGCCCCUGUAGAUGUCCCUCAACUUGAUUCUUAUAUUAUACAUGUUUCUUCAUCAUGUAGCUAUCAUGCUUAUAUUAAUUUUGCUGAGAUUUUUAUUAACAAAACAUUGAUCAUAGAUAGAUGGGAAACUCAUCACAUUUUCA